UUCUAGGAUCUCUUGUGAGGU
rnacentral:misc_RNA from 1 species